rnacentral:lncRNA from 1 species
GUCAGAAUUUGGGUGAGAAUUGAUUUUGGGUCAAGUUUAUUUAAUGGCCAAUCAAAACGUGACACGUGGAAUUCAAAAAAAUUAAAAAUUAAAUACAAGCAUCCCGACCGACCCGACCCAAAAAACACCAAACCCUCUCUUCAUCUUCCUCAUAACACACCCGCUCUAACCCUAAACCACCAAACGACCUCUCAUGGCUACCCCGUUGCUUCAUCUUCCCCGUCCAGCCCGUCACCUUCACAUCGCCGGAAAACUUCACAACCAAACAGCCCCCCUCCAUCACGAACCAGGCGUCCAACCCGUCCUCCAUAACCAAGCCAUGAAAAACCAGCCCCCCAUUGGAUAGGAAUGACCAAUCCA